UUUUUAUGGAGAGUUUGAUCCUGGCUCAGGAUGAACGCUGGCGGCGUGCCUAAUACAUGCAAGUCGAGCGAACAGACGAGGAGCUUGCUCCUCUGACGUUAGCGGCGGACGGGUGAGUAACACGUGGAUAACCUACCUAUAAGACUGGGAUAACUUCGGGAAACCGGAGCUAAUACCGGAUAAUAUAUUGAACCGCAUGGUUCAAUAGUGAAAGACGGUUUUGCUGUCACUUAUAGAUGGAUCCGCGCCGCAUUAGCUAGUUGGUAAGGUAACGGCUUACCAAGGCAACGAUGCGUAGCCGACUGAGAGGGUGAUCGGCCACACUGGAACUGAGACAC
rnacentral:rRNA from 1 species